GAACGCAAGCUGUUCACAAAGCAAGAUGACCAAGCUCAGGCUCCAGGUGUACCAAGGAAGAUAUUUCUACUGCCCGAAUACCAUGAACAGCUGUCCCCCAGUGAGUGAUUCUGUGCCAGGCAGAGUGUUCUGUCUCCUACAAGGAUUAUCUCAUUUAACGUCCACCGUGAUCCUAUGAGGUGGGAUUGUCGUCUCUAUUUUAGGGAUGAGAAAACAAAUGCUUGGGGAGCUGGAGUGCCUUCUAUUUUUUGUCGAUAUGAGUCACCUGCUCUGGACCACAAAUGAUCUAGUAAGGAGGACUAACAACAAACAGGCCAACAAACAGCCGUGCAACCACACAUGGAGAAGAAUGAGUGGCGGUGGUGCUGGAGGAGCCAGCCAUGGGAAGAUCUGGGAAGAGAGUGCCCGGGCAGAGGGAACAGCAGGGGAAGACCCGAAGGAAGGAUGGAAGUUGGCCUGCUCUAGGACAGAGAGCCCUGCUGUGGUUGGUACACAGGUAGCAAGAUUUAGUACAUUGCUACAUGAAUAUAAACAGGACAAAAACAGAAUCUACUUCAUGUUGUGGGAACUAAAUGAGAUACUGUGUACAAGGCCAGAGUCAUAGCCAGGCACACAGCAAGCAUCAGUAAAUGGUGGCCCAUAUGUUGGUGCUGCUGAAGAAGAAAAUCUGUCUCCCCUUUGGCCAGGAAGCUGGUUGGGGUGGGCCCUACCUCGAUCACUGAAGUCAUCAACCAGCACAAUUUCGGCGAUCAGCUCCGAGGGUGAGCGGUUCAGCACGCUGUGGACAGUGCGGAGGAGAGAGGACCAGCCCUCGUUGUGGAAGGGGAUGAUGAUGCUGGUGUUGGGGAGCGUCUCCAGGUAGCGUUUACUGUUGCAGCUAGAGGGAGACACAGGGGACAAGAGAGGACAGGUUCAGCUCUUGUCUUGCCAAGAGAACUCAAGAAGCACACAGUUUGGCUAACCACAAAUACCACUCCUUUCCAGCUUCUGGGAUGACUGCAAGCCAGGGACACCUCAGUCACUAGAACCUCUUCCACUUAGCAUCCCGAAGUCCUGCCUUCAAUUCCUGCACACACGGUACACAGGGAUAUGUAUAUAAGAUGACCCUGACUCUGUAUAAGAGCAGUUACAAACUGACAACAGCCAGCACUGAGGGAGCAGCACCGGGGUUGGGUGCUCUCCAUGUGCUAACCUGUUUAAGCCUCUAUCAUUAUAGGUACACGGUACAUGGUUACCUAUCCUCAUGAUUCCAAACAGAAGACAGUCCUUCAGUAAUGCUCUGGCCUCUCUCCUCACCCCUUGCACACUCCUCACCAGUGGAAGAGAAACCUUUUACCCACAAGUCUGGAAGAAUAAACUGGGCUUCACUGGCUCAGCCCCUCUGCUCACUCCUUGGAUUCUGCUGGCAGAGGGCAUAUUUUUUUCCUCUGCUCUCUACCAGUCCCAUGGUAAGCAUGGGGGUGGAGGGCCCUGCCCCUGUGGAUCUUUAAUGUCAAUGUAACAGCCAAAAGAAUUAACAGAGUUCCUUAAUAUCGUCAAAUAUCUAGCUGGUGUUCAAGUUCUGCCAAUCUUCUUCUACCUUUUUAUAGUUGUUUAAAUCAAGAUCAAGACAAAGCCCACAUGCUGCUUCUAGCUGAUGUGCCUUCUAAGUCUCUUUUUUCCUUACAAUUUCUUUCUUGAAGAAACUGGGUCAUUUGUGCUAUUGGAUUUCCUACAGUCUGCAUUUUGCUGCUUGCGUCUUUGUGGUGUCUCUGAACAUGUUCCUCUGUUCACCCCUCUUUGGUUCCUGUAAAUCAGUAGCAAGAUCUAGAGGCUUAGCCUACUUUGAUGAGAUACUCUGGCAACCUCUUCAUAGUGGUGUGAGCCUCCUACAGGAGACACAUACUGUCCAGUUGUCUUUCCUUUUGUAAUGUUGGUGGCCACUGAUGAUCAAUGCCUAAAUCCUUCAUUUCAUCAUCACGGGUUUGCAAAAUGGUGAGACUCUUAUUCUAUCAUUUACUAGUUGGGAUACUAUAAUGAAGGAAAAUUACCACAUCAACUAUUUGGUUGAGGUACAGGAAAAUAUAGGAAAAGUACAGACAGAAGGAAAGGGGUGGAGGAAGUUGGGGAAGGGCAGAGGGAGAUGGAGAGAAUAUCAAGCAGACUCCACACCCAGCACAGAUCCCAGUGUGGGGCUCAAUCCUAGCACCCUGGGAUCGUGACCAUGAGCUGAAGGCAGACGCUUAACUGACUAAGCCAUCCAAGCACUCCUGAGCUAGAAAUAUAUUUUCAUACAUAACAUCAUGAGUUCAUGCUGAAGUUUUAUAUUUAAUAUAUAGGACUACAGAGUUUUACUGAACAUUAAUUUUAUAUUGCAUGUUCUUUUUAAUUGAGAUAUAAUUCACAUACCAUAAAAUUCAACAUAAAA